rnacentral:tRNA from 1 species
GCCACCGUAGCUCAACUGGAAGAGCGGCGGUUUUGUAAACCGCAGGUUGGGAGUUCGAGUCUCCCCGGUGGCU